CUUCAUUUACCUUGCGUUACCUUCAAAGUACUUCCUGAGGUUUUGAUGUUAGUCCCUACUUCUAACAAGGUGAGGCUAUUUAUGUAAAAGUAAAAAUGAGAUUUCAGCAUUUGCAGAGGAGGUCUUUUUUUUUUUAUCUUCCCUUAAAUAUGAAUGUUUUAUUAUUAGGGUUUUAGAGUUGUAGGUUCAGUUGGGGAAAAAAACUGAAA